rnacentral:rRNA from 1 species
GACGAACGCUGGAGGCGUGCUUAACACAUGCAAGUCGAACGAUGAAAUGAGCUUGCUCCAUGGAUUAGUGGCGAACGGGUGAGUAACACGUGAAUAACCUGCCCUUAAUUUUGGAAUAACCCAGGGAAACCUGGGCUAAUACCGGAUAAGUAAACCUGUGGCAUCACAUGGUUUUGGAAAGUUUUUCGAUUAAGGAUGGAUUCGCGGCCUAUCAGCUUGUUGGUGAGGUGAUGGCUCACCAAGGCGACGACGGGUAGCCGGCCUGAGAGGGUGAACGGCCACACUGGGACUGAGACACGGCCCAGACUCCUACGGGAGGCAGCAGUGGGGAAUAUUGCGCAAUGGACGAAAGUCUGACGCAGUGACGCCUCGUGAGGGACGAAGGUCUUCGGAUUGUAAACCUCUUUCAGCAGGGACGAAGCGAAAGUGACGGUACCUGCAGAAGAAGCACCGGCUAACUAUGUGCCAGCCGCCGCGGUAA